GACGAACGCUGGCGGCGUGCUUAACACAUGCAAGUCGAACGGAAAGGCCCCUUUGGGGGUACUCGAGUGGCGAACGGGUGAGUAACACGUGAGUAACCUUCCCUUGACUUCGGGAUAACUUCAGGAAACUGGGGCUAAUACCGGAUAGGAAUCCUUGCUGCAUGGUGGGGGUUGGAAAGCUUCGGCGGUUUUGGAUGGACUCGCGGCUUAUCAGCUUGUUGGUGGGGUAGUGGCUUACCAAGGCUUUGACGGGUAGCCGGCCUGAGAGGGCGACCGGCCACAUUGGGACUGAGAUACGGCCCAGACUCCUACGGGAGGCAGCAGUGGGGAAUAUUGCACAAUGGGCGGAAGCCUGAUGCAGCAACGCCGCGUGCGGGAUGACGGCCUUCGGGUUGGAAACCGCUUUCAGCAGGGGCGAAGCUUGUGGUGACGGUACCUGCAGAAGAAGCACCGGCUAACUACGUG
rnacentral:rRNA from 1 species